rnacentral:rRNA from 1 species
UGCAGUCGAACGAUGAAGCUGGAGCUUGCUCCGGCCGAUUAGUGGCGAACGGGUGAGUAACACGUGAGCAAUCUGCCCUUGACUCUGGGAUAACUGCGGGAAACUGUAGCUAAUACCGGAUACUUUCCUCGCUGGGCAUCCAGCGGGGAAGAAAGAAUUUCGGUCAAGGAUGAGCUCGCGGCCUAUCAGCUAGUUGGUGAGGUAAAGGCUCACCAAGGCGACGACGGGUAGCCGGCCUGAGAGGGUGACCGGCCACACUGGAACUGAGACACGGUCCAGACUCCUACGGGAGGCAGCAGUGGGGAAUAUUGCACAAUGGGCGAAAGCCUGAUGCAGCAACGCCGCGUGAGGGAUGAAGGCCUUCGGGUUGUAAACCUCUUUUAGCAGGGAAGAAGCGAAAGUGACGGUACCUGCAGAAAAAGCACCGGCUAACUACGUGCCAGCAGCCGCGGUAAUACGUAGGGUGCAAGCGUUGUCCGGAAUUAUUGGGCGUAAAGAGCUCGUAGGCGGUUUGUCACGUCUGCUGUGAAAAUCCGAGGCUCAACCUCGGACUUGCAGUGGGUACGGGCAGGCUAGAGUGCGGUAGGGGAGAAGGGAAUUCCUGGUGUAGCGGUGGAAUGCGCAGAUAUCAGGAGGAACACCAAUGGCGAAGGCACUUCUCUGGGCCGUAACUGACGCUGAGGAGCGAAAGCGUGGGGAGCGAACAGGAUUAGAUACCCUGGUAGUCCACGCCGUAAACGGUGGGUGCUAGCUGUGGGCCACAUUCCACGUGGUCCGUGACGAAGU